rnacentral:rRNA from 1 species
CGGCGAUGUCCGAAUGGGGAAACCCAGUGUGAUUCGUCACACUAUCGUUAACUGAAUACAUAGGUUAACGAGGCGAACCGGGGGAACUGAAACAUCUAAGUACCCCGAGGAAAAGAAAUCAACCGAGAUUCCCCCAGUAGCGGCGAGCGAACGGGGAGCAGCCCAGAGUCUGAAUCAGCUUGUGUGUUAGUGGAACGGUCUGGAAAGUCCGACGGUACAGGGUGAUAGUCCCGUACACCAAAAUGCACAGGCUGUGAACUCGAAGAGUAGGGCGGGACACGUGGUAUCCUGUCUGAAUAUGGGGGGACCAUCCUCCAAGGCUAAAUACUCCUGACUGACCGAUAGUGAACCAGUACCGUGAGGGAAAGGCGAAAAGAACCCCGGCGAGGGGAGUGAAAAAGAACCUGAAACCGUGUACGUACAAGCAGUGGGAGCACCUUCGGGUGUGACUGCGUACCUUUUGUAUAAUGGGUCAGCGACUUAUAUUCUGUAGCAAGGUUAACCGUAUAGGGGAGCCGCAGGGAAACCGAGUCUUAACUGGGCGUUAAGUUGCAGGGUAUAGACCCGAAACCCGGUGAUCUAGCCAUGGGCAGGUUGAAGGUUGGGUAACACUAACUGGAGGACCGAACCGACUAAUGUUGAAAAAUUAGCGGAUGACUUGUGGCUGGGGGUGAAAGGCCAAUCAAACCGGGAGAUAGCUGGUUCUCCCCGAAAGCUAUUUAGGUAGCGCCUCGUGAACUCAUCUUCGGGGGUAGAGCACUGUUUCGGCUAGGGGGUCAUCCCGACUUACCAACCCGAUGCAAACUACGAAUACCGAAGAAUGUUAUCACGGGAGACACACGGCGGGUGCUAACGUCCGUCGUGAAGAGGGAAACAACCCAGACCGCCAGCUAAGGUCCCAAAGUCAUGGUUAAGUGGGAAACGAUGUGGGAAGGCACAGACAGCCAGGAUGUUGGCUUAGAAGCAGCCAUCAUUUAAAGAAAGCGUAAUAGCUCACUGGUCGAGUCGGCCUGCGCGGAAGAUGUAACGGGGCUAAACCAUGCACCGAAGCUGCGGCAGCGACACUAUGUGUUGUUGGGUAGGGGAGCGUUCUGUAAGCCUGCGAAGGUGACCUGUGAGGGUUGCUGGAGGUAUCAGAAGUGCGAAUGCUGACAUAAGUAACGAUAAAGCGGGUGAAAAGCCCGCUCGCCGGAAGACCAAGGGUUCCUGUCCAACGUUAAUCGGGGCAGGGUGAGUCGACCCCUAAGGCGAGGCCGAAAGGCGUAGUCGAUGGGAAACAGGUUAAUAUUCCUGUACUUGGUGUUACUGCGAAGGGGGGACGGAGAAGGCUAUGUUAGCCGGGCGACGGUUGUCCCGGUUUAAGCAUGUAGGCUGGUUGUCCAGGCAAAUCCGGAUAAUCAAGGCUGAGGUGUGAUGACGAGGCACUACGGUGCUGAAGUAACAAAUGCCCUGCUUCCAGGAAAAGCCUCUAAGCAUCAGGUAACAUCAAAUCGUACCCCAAACCGACACAGGUGGUCAGGUAGAGAAUACCAAGGCGCUUGAGAGAACUCGGGUGAAGGAACUAGGCAAAAUGGUGCCGUAACUUCGGGAGAAGGCACGCUGGUGUGUAGGUGAAGUCCCUGCGGAUGGAGCUGAGACCAGUCGAAGAUACCAGCUGGCUGCAACUGUUUAUUAAAAACACAGCACUGUGCAAACACGAAAGUGGACGUAUACGGUGUGACGCCUGCCCGGUGCCGGAAGGUUAAUUGAUGGGGUUAUCCGUAAGGAGAAGCUCUUGAUCGAAGCCCCGGUAAACGGCGGCCGUAACUAUAACGGUCCUAAGGUAGCGAAAUUCCUUGUCGGGUAAGUUCCGACCUGCACGAAUGGCGUAAUGAUGGCCAGGCUGUCUCCACCCGAGACUCAGUGAAAUUGAACUCGCUGUGAAGAUGCAGUGUACCCGCGGCAAGACGGAAAGACCCCGUGAACCUUUACUAUAGCUUGACACUGAACAUUGAGCCUUGAUGUGUAGGAUAGGUGGGAGGCUUUGAAGCGUGGACGCCAGUCUGCGUGGAGCCAACCUUGAAAUACCACCCUUUAAUGUUUGAUGUUCUAACGUUGGCCCCUUACCGGGGUUGCGGACAGUGUCUGGUGGGUAGUUUGACUGGGGCGGUCUCCUCCCAAAGCGUAACGGAGGAGCACGAAGGUUAGCUAAUCCUGGUCGGACAUCAGGAGGUUAGUGCAAUGGCAUAAGCUAGCUUGACUGCGAGCGUGACGGCGCGAGCAGGUGCGAAAGCAGGUCAUAGUGAUCCGGUGGUUCUGAAUGGAAGGGCCAUCGCUCAACGGAUAAAAGGUACUCCGGGGAUAACAGGCUGAUACCGCCCAAGAGUUCAUAUCGACGGCGGUGUUUGGCACCUCGAUGUCGGCUCAUCACAUCCUGGGGCUGAAGUAGGUCCCAAGGGUAUGGCUGUUCGCCAUUUAAAGUGGUACGCGAGCUGGGUUUAGAACGUCGUGAGACAGUUCGGUCCCUAUCUGCCGUGGGCGCUGGAGAAUUGAGGGGGGCUGCUCCUAGUACGAGAGGACCGGAGUGGACGCAUCACUGGUGUUCGGGUUGUCAUGCCAAUGGCACUGCCCGGUAGCUAAAUGCGGAAGAGAUAAGUGCUGAAAGCAUCUAAGCACGAAACUUGCCCCGAGAUGAGUUCU